rnacentral:rRNA from 1 species
GACGGAGGGUGCGAGCGUUGUUCGGAUUUAUUGGGCGUAAAGCGUACGUAGGCGGUUAUCUAAGUCUGGUGUUAAAGCUAGAGGCUCAACCUCUGUGAUGCACUGGAAAACUGGGUGACUUGAGAGCGGUAGGGGAAGGUGGAAUUCCGAGUGUAGCGGUGAAAUGCGUAGAUAUUCGGAAGAACACCGGUGGCGAAGGCGACCUUCUGGGCCGUUUCUGACGCUGAGGUACGAAAGCGUGGGGAGCAAACAGG